rnacentral:rRNA from 1 species
CAGCCGCCGCGGUAAAACGGAGGGGGCUAGCGUUGUUCGGAAUUACUGGGCGUAAAGCGCACGUAGGCGGCUUGGUAAGUUAGAGGUGAAAGCCUGGAGCUCAACUCCAGAAUUGCCUUUAAUACUGGCAAUCUCGAGUCCGAGAGAGGUGAGUGGAAUUCCGAGUGUAGAGGUGAAAUUCGUAGAUAUUCGGAGGAACACCAGUGGCGAAGGCGGCUCACUGGCUCGGUACUGACGCUGAGGUGCGAAAGCGUGGGGAGCAAACAGGAUUAGAUACCCCAGUAGUCCCUGUCUCUUAUAC